rnacentral:rRNA from 1 species
AUACGUAGGGCGCAAGCGUUGUCCGGAAUUAUUGGGCGUAAAGAGCUCGUAGGCGGUUUAUCACGUCGGCUGUGAAAUCCCGAGGCUUAACCUCGGGCCUGCAGUCGAUACGGGUUGACUAGAGUGAUGCAGGGGAGACUGGAAUUCCUGGUGUAGCGGUGAAAUGCGCAGAUAUCAGGAGGAACACCGAUGGCGAAGGCAGGUCUCUGGGCAUUAACUGACGCUGAGGAGCGAAAGCGUGGGUAGCGAACAGGAUUAGAUACCCUGGUAGUCCACGCCGUAAACGGUGGGCGCUAGGUGUGGGGACCAGUCCACGGUUUCCGUGCCGCAGCUAACGCAUUAAGCGCCCCGCCUGGGGAGUACGGCCGCAAGGCUAAA